rnacentral:misc_RNA from 1 species
GAUGAAGAACGCAGCGAAAUGCGAUAAGUAAUGUGAAUUGCAGAAUUCAGUGAAUCAUCGAAUCUUUGAGCGCACAUUGCGCCCGCCAGUAUUCUGGCGGGCAUGCCUGUUCGAGCGUCAUUUCAACCAUCAAGCCCCCGGCUUGUGUUGGGGACCUGCGGCUGCCGCAGGCCCUGAAAAGCAGUGGCGGGCUCGCUGUCACACCGAGCGUAGUAGCAUACAUCUCGCUCUGGGCGUGCUGCGGGUUCCGGCCGUUAAACCACCUUCAUAACCCAAGGUUGACCUCGGAUCAGGUAGGAAGACCCGCUGAACUUAAGCAUAUCAAUAAGCGGAGGA